AACGCGCCUCGCUGUUUCGCGGAUUUUUAUUGUGCAAUUUUGCAUAAUUUCUCUUUUUUUUUUUCACAGCGCAUCGUGAUCUGCGUCCUGAUUGGCUGUAGACCAUUGUCAAUGAAUCUCCUCGGCGCAGUGUCUCCUGUACGGCACUUCCGGUGGCACCCAAACGGCAGAGGAAGAUGCUAACCAUGGCACAAAAAAGUUGGACUUCUGGACAUGCUAAAGGAAGUUGGAGCCAGGAGGCUGCACGAAGACCAAAGAGCUGAACAUGACAGAAAAACAACUUCUCUGUAAGAAGAGGAAACAAAAAGUAAAGGAUUGGCAUCAAGCUCAGAAAACAGAGAAAAGAAACUAGUGAUGGACUUCAAAAUAAACUGUAUCGUCCAAGCUUUGAAGAAUAACCACAAAACAAGUGUGACAGCACAACAAUCAACAGCCUCAAAAACGUGGAGAUUCAAAAUGAAAAAGUUUGUGUUGUGCACCCAAAAAAUGGCCUUGAAGCAAAGUUAUGAGACAGAUGAGAACAUAAAUCCAACCUUUGCCAAAGUCAGGGAAAGCCAACAGUGUGAAGAAAACCACAAAGUGCCCUUGACUCAAAUCAUUUCCGCUCCUCAGCGAAGCACACAGCAGCGAAAACCGUCAUCCUCGGCAGACUCGGAUAAUUCAUUUUCACUGACAGAGGAACAGAUGACGGCAGGGGGGAGCAGCAGGUGUUGUUUAGAAGUGUAAAGAUUAUUUUGGCAGGACGUUCAUCCUGCAACAAGACAGUGACACCCACCCCCCCAGCCACACCGAGGUGCAACCAAAGCUUUCAUCAGCCUCAGUCUUAAAUAAAGUGUCCACUUCAGGCUCCAGAUUUAAACCCUACUGAACAUUUUCUCUGCAGCAAAGGAGAGCAAAGGGUAAACGUCACUGGAAGGUGUUCUAAAAAACAAAAAACGUCCAAAAAACUUUUCCUUCUUUUGACAUACAUCUGUUCACUUGCACAUGUGGAAAAGCUGACUUUGACCACAAACUGGCAACAAAACAUAAGAUUUGACUGUCCCGAGACAGUAAGAUAAUUUGUAGAUGUACUUUGAAUUCAUAUUUUAGUUUCAUAUUUCAUGGUUAUAUUAACUGUUUAGUUUCUGUUUACUGCAGCUCUAAUUCUCACCAUGACUACAAAAAAGCACUGAGUUGCUGCCGUGUGAUUGGCUGAUGAUUUGCAUUAAGGAGCAGAUAACGAAGUGUACAGUGUAUUUCUGCUCCUGUCCACAGACUAGACAAAGUCUGGUGUGUUAAAAUCAUUGUUGUUUUUUUCCUAAUAACCUUUUUAAGGUGUGAAGUUUUUCCCUUUACCUGAUGAUGGACAGCCUGUUUUUUAACCACACAUACUGACACUGGCAGCUCGUUGCCUGCAGUAUGACCCAUAAUUAAAAGAGAAUUUUAUUUGUUUUUUUACUGUGUGAAUUUUCUGGCGUUUAACGGUUCAUCUAGCAGAGGCCACAGAAACUGAGACUGUUGUGGAGGGCUGCACCCACGAAGAGAUAAAAUUACUAUUGAGCAGAACUGUGUUCAGCUUCACUGGAAAAACUAAAUCCCCAGUAUUGUUGUAUAGUGAUAUAAAAAAAAAAGGGGGGUUGUGUUAUUUUAUGCAUUACUAAUACUAGGAAGAAAACCCUUAAACCCUGAUCUCUGAUACAUGAGACCUCUGUAAAGGAAAUUGCUGAUAAAUCUGAAACUGCACAAAAAUAGCUGGAUUUGGCCAAAACGAUGAAAAUUUAAAUUGAUGUUUCUUUUGUUUUUAAAUUGCCAAAUUGUUCAAUAAACACUCCAGAUUUAACUAUUAAAUGAUUACUUUUUGUAAUCAUUUAAUGGUUCAGUCUUGACAGGGUUAAUGCUUUUAACAUUUUUGUGUACACACCAUCGGUGAGGUCUUUGUCAGUAUGACGGCUGUAAAACUAACUGAUUUAAACCUCUGGCUCAGAAUUCAUAAACACUUUCAGCUCUCUUUUUAUGUCCUAUUAUUUACAACAAAUAACAUUAAAAGUCAGAAAUUCUUCACCGAUUAAAAUUUUUUUUCAAAGUCACCCAGUGGGCCGGACUGGACCCUUUGGCGGGCCUGUCAUGGUCCCUGGGCCAUAUGUUUGACAACCCUGGAAUAAGGAACAAGGCCAAAACACUUUUUUUGUUUUCUUUAUUCCACUCAGGAAAAAAAAAACAAAAAUAAAAAAAAAUUAAAAAACCAACAUCAUCUAUCACUCCAAUAUUUAACUGGUAUUAACUGUGUUAAUUCUUUCAUCUGUGAUUCAUCUGAAGAUUUCACUUUAAUUUACUUAAAACUUUAGUUAAGUAUCAGUUAAAGUUAAAGUAGCAGACUUGCUUCACAAGUCUGGCUCAUCACACAUUGUUUUCUCAUUUCAAUUCAACAGAUUUCAUUAUUUUUCAUACGCACUCAAAAUAUUUCAAUUACAUCUUAAGGCAUAAAUCUAUUUUUUUUAAAUCACAAACAUAUAAAAUUUAGAUGAAAUAGCUGGGAACUGUAGCUUAGAGUGAAUAGUGAAAUCGCAUGGGACUAGUUUCCGCUGUGGAUUAAUACACAUUUGGCGCUGCUGCUACUGCCUGAACAUGUAGCUCUGAUAUUAGAGCUCUGUGGCACAGAGAAAAAGAAAUAUACAGCAAAAACCUUUUCAAGAUCAAGCGGUUGCUACUCAGGAUUAAACAAGCCACACGUGGCAAAUGGAGGUGCUUUUUGCAGCUGAGUAAAUUUACAGUAAUCACACAUUUUAUAGGCUUUUAUACAAUCCCUUUGCUUUUAUUUCAGCGACUAGCAAUGUUAUUGAAUUUGACAGUACUUAAAAAGAUCCUCGGUCAAUAAAUAAACACAGAAACAGGACCAGGAGUGGUUUAAAGUGGCAGACACUGGACUGUUUUAACAAUAUACAGUACACAAAAUGAGAUUUAAAAAAAAUUAAUAUCUAAAAUACAUUAGUAAUAGUAUUUUUAUCAUGUAACAUGCGUAUUAUUGCAAUGGUUUGUUACAGAGGCCAGUAUGUGGUGCAGAAAGCCAGACAAACACUGUAAAUCUUUAAAAAAA